GAACAAUGUUGUAAACGGGGGAAUUAGAAUAAUUUUUUAUUAAACCUAAAUAUAUUUCUAAGUAGAAGUAAAAAAAGAAAAUCCAACCGCCACCUCAGGGUUGGACUGUCAGAACUCAGAGGCAAAGGUGGAAGCCAUGUCCGAAAGGGUUCUUUGCAAGUUCUUUGCACAUGGGGCAUGUCUGAAGGGGGAUCAUUGUGAGUUUUCACAUGAUUGGAACAAUCCUUCUAAUAAUGUAUGUACCUACUACCAAAAAGGAGCUUGUGCUUAUGGAAGCAGGUGUAGAUAUGAUCAUGUUAAACUGUCUCGAUCACAACCUUCAGCUCAGUCUUCAGCACAACCUCAACAAUGUCUGCUUUCAAGUUCUACGCCUAUCAAUGUGUCUCCUGGAAUGGGUGCACAUAAUGCAGAUGUUCUGCCAGGCAUUUGUACUGAGUAUUUAGCUUCAAGCAGACCUUAUGACGCUUCCAGCCAAUCAGCAUGGAACCAAAAGUCAGAGCUUCAAGAUGCAUUAGAGAUUGAUGACAUGAUUGAGUUAAACAGUGAUAAUCCAGCUGAUCGGUCAAUCUGUGCUUUUGCUGCUGCUGGUAAUUGUCCUCGGGGAGAAAAGUGUCCUCGUGUUCAUGGAGAUCUGUGUCCAACCUGCGGAAAGCAUUGCUUGCAUCCUUUCAGGCCCGAGGAAAGAGAGGAGCAUAUAAAAACAUGUGAGAACAAGCAAAAGCACCUUGAUUUAUUGAAGCGCAGUCAAGAAAUAGAAUGCAGUGUAUGCCUUGAACGCGUUCUUUCCAAGUCAACAGCAGCUGAGAGGAAGUUUGGGAUCCUUUCUGAGUGUGAUCAUCCAUUUUGUGUAUCGUGUAUAAGGAAUUGGCGUGGCAGUUCUUCCUCUGGGAUGGAUGUUAAUUCUGCACUGAGGGCGUGUCCCAUAUGCAGAAAGCUUUCAUAUUUUGUCAUUCCAAGUGUUAUUUGGUACUUCACAAAAGAAGAGAAGGAAGAAAUAGUUGACAACUACAAAAACAAACUCAGAUCUAUUGAUUGCAAGCACUUUGACUUUGGGAAUGGGACUUGUCCAUUUGGGACUAGCUGUUUCUACAAGCAUCAACACCGUGAUGGUCGUGUGGAGGAAGUGGUACUACGCCAUCUUGGCUCUGAAGAUGGAAGCACAGUAAUCGCUAAAAAUAUCAGGCUCUCGGACUUCCUUAGGAAUUUCGAAAUUAGGUGAACAGUUUCUUUUAGUAAUUUCAAGACUUGUUUGUUUAUGUGGGGCUCCUUCAAUUCUGAAAAAUUUCAUGAACAAACGACAAUCCUGGACGUAAAUUUUUCGGUUGUAGACACUAUAGGUCCUCAUUUCGAAAUUCUUGUAAGUUUUUCGAUUGGUAUGAUCCUGAAUUUCCGACCCAAGCGAAUAUUGUAAUUUUGGGUUUGUUGAAGAAAACCAACAAACAAGAAGAACAGCUCAAGUGCAAAUGGAUAUUGAAACUGAUUUUGGGUAUUAGUUUGAUAUGCAAUGUGAUAUUGUUCUUUUAUUUAGUGUGUCGAUUUUUUUUAAGGCAAUUUUUAUGAAGGCAAAAUCAUUUGGCUCUAGGGUACUCAUUUUGUGGAUUAGUUUGGUUUGGUGUUCUAUUAAUGUAUGUUUUUGCUGUUUUUGCUGAUCAA